AUUGAACGCUGGCGGCAGGCUUAACACAUGCAAGUCGAGCGCGCGGCGGACGGGUGAGUAAUGUCUGUGAAACUGCCUGAUGGUGGGGGAUAACUACUGGAAACGGUAGCUAAUACCGCAUACCAUCAGAUGUGCCCAGAUGGGGUUAGCUAGUAGGUGGGGUAAUGGCUCACCUAGGCAACGAUCCCUAGCUGGGGUGAGAGGAGGACCAGCCACCCGGGAACUGAGACACGGUCCGGACUCCUACGGGAGGCGGCAGUGGGGAAUAGUGCACAAGGGGAGCAAGCCUGAUGCAGACAUGCCGAGUGUGGGAAGAAGGCCUUCGGGUUGUAAAGCAAUUUCAGUGAGGAGGCGUUACUCGCAGAAGAAGCACCGGCUAACUCCGUGCCAGCAGCCGCGGUAAUUC
rnacentral:rRNA from 1 species